GGACUACUGGGGUUUCUAAUCCUGUUUGAUCCCCACGCUUUCGUGCAUCAGCGUCAAUAUAUGCGUAGCCUGCUGCCUUCGCAAUAGGUGUUCUAUGUCAUCUCUAUGCAUUUCACCGCUACAUGACAUAUUCCGCAAGCCUCCACAAUAUUCAAGAUAAAUAGUAUCAAUGGCAGUUUUCGGGUUAAGCCCAAAGAUUUCACCACUGACUUAAAUACCCGCCUACGCACCCUUUAAACCCAGUGAAUCCGGAUAACGCUUGCACCCUCCGUAUUACCGCGGCUGCUGGCAC
rnacentral:rRNA from 1 species